GUGCUUGCUUUGGCAGCAUAUACACUAAAACUGGAAAAAUACAGAGAUUAGCAUGGCCCUUGUGCAAGGAUGACACACAAACUCAUGAAGCACUUCAUAAUUUU
ensembl:snRNA U6 U6 spliceosomal RNA